UGAGGCACCUGGCAGGGGAGAUCCCAGGAUCGCUGAGGUGGCUGGCUUUCCCAGGGUGAGGCCUGUCCCUUGCUCUCUGGGCAGGCUGACCCCUGAGUAUUUCCCCAGUGCAGGAAACUUGACUGCAUAAUUUUGUGGUAAUGGGAAACUGCAUUUGUGCUUUCUCCCU
ensembl:snRNA U1 U1 spliceosomal RNA